ensembl:lncRNA
CGGCACGAUCGAGACUCAUAUUUCAGUUUUUAACAAAUUUUCUGUUUCCAGACUAUAAACUGUCCCCAUGAAAUAUUCAAAAUGUGUGAGAAACACAGUUUGAAAGGACAAGCUGGCAUGAAGCAUCUCGGGACGGUGUUGUUCUCCACAUAUAAGCUAUACAGUUCUCUGGAGAGAUGAAGUUUGAUGAUGGUGGAGAGCAUCGUCAGGUGUUCAGCUGGGUUUAUAAUCAAAGCUCAUGAUUGGUUUGAUUUUAUCUGGGUAAACAGGAUAAAAAGCAGCUUUCUCUCCUCUCAGCAUGAUGGGAAAUCCACCCGUGUAAAGUGAUGUUCGCUUGGCUGAAGUUUGGGUUUCCAGUGUCUUCUUCCUGCCGUGUGCUGGCGUUUGUCUCCACCCACCAGAGUCCAUCAACAAAGUUCAUCCUCCAUCUUUCCUGUGCUAAAGUAGAGAAAAACUAGCAAACACUACCUACAUCUUUUUUUUGUUAUGCUUUUCCAUAUUUUUUGUCACCUUUUUUUUUAAAUUAAACAUGAUCAAAGUUUUUUUUAAUAUGAGAAGGACGAUUUGUUUUAUAUAGACGAGCACAGAUCAAUAUAAUCUGGCUCCCUUUUCACAAAUUCACAUCAAAUGAACCUGUAAUCGUGACUCUAAGGACGUCACAAUGGAUGAGUUCUUAAAAACUCAAAGGGUUUGAAUGCAAGGUCUGUGUGGUGAUGUUGUAAUGAGCGGUUCCGCCUCUGGAGGCCAGUAGAGAGGCUUUUAGGCUUUCGGCGUGACUUCGUAAACACCCUGUCAAAUGAUUCAAGACGUCAGCCCUCAGGGCAGUUCAGCUGCUCCUGCUGCAGCCCCUCACCUCCAGAAAAACAUGAUGCAGAGGGGAUUUUCAUCCAUCUUUCUGUCUCUGUGUUUGUGUGUUCCUGUUGCCACCCUCAUCGCCAUAGAGACGCACUUGAGAGGGUCUGCAUGGAUGAAGUCAGGGCUCAGCAACUUAACAAGACGAAGAUGUGGGUGUACGUGUUUUUAAGUAUUUCAAGACCUCGAGAGGCUUUAAUGUUCUUUAAAGGGAGUUUAAG